GGUGACUGAGGUGAACCUAUCAAGUCGGAGCAUUUCUCUUCAAUGGUUUUUGGCUACAUACCCUAAUACUCAUCAAACAGCUCCUAAAUUAGAAGAGCUGUGCCUUCCUCUCGUCCGUGAAUUCUGACAGAUAGAAGUUUUGAAUAACAUUGGCAGCAAAGUCAGGACAGAGCGAUGCAGAAUUCGAUCUCUCUCGGAAUUCAUUUUAAGACUGAAGCUUUUAUUUUUUACAACCAUGUUUUUUUUUUUUAACAAAGAUGUAAUACAUAGCAGCGUGGUAAGAAGCCAAAUUUAUUACCUGGCCUCAAUCACAGAGUAAGAUUACUGGAGUUAUCUGUUGCACAGCAAGGGGCAAUAUGCAUUCAUUAAUAGCCAGUGUUACACACAGGGAUACAUUCGGCUUCUGUCUGUUAUUUUAAAAUAACAUUCUCCUGCAUGAGUGUUCAGUGAGGUUGCUCUUUCCUUAGCAAACAUUUGUGAAAGAAGAGGAAAUUGCACUAGGUGCUUAGUGCAUAAGCUAGCUCAUUUUUGCUAGCUGUAGGGUAUUGUUAAGUAUGAGCUGUUUUUAUUUGAACUCAGCUAAUUUUAUUUAAAAUACCUUCUGUUCAUUUAUUCUAAAGCUGUAUCCCCAGACUCAUUAAGAAGAGUUUAAUGAGGUAGAAAUCCAUUUAAAGUGGGGGGUUUUCCAUAUAUGUAUUUGUGAUAUAAAUUGAUUGUUAAGUAAAAUGGAUUAUGCUGCAGUCUGAGCAAAUUAUGUAAGCAGAUGAUAAAGGGAUACUAAUAUACAAGGAUAUUGAUUGUUCUUUGUUGCACUACCAUUACUUACACCAGGAUUUGAUGGAGAAUGUUUACUCAUGUGCAAGUUUCAACACAAAUGCCUGUGAAAGUGUAUAGCAAAAUUAGUAUGACAUCAUUGUUUAUUUAUAGAUUUUUGGUGUAAUUAUGUCAUAUUUUCCUUGGGAAGCCAAAUUCAUUUUGUUGUAAUGCAUCUUGCAUUUCUUGAAUCUUACUGGGCCAUAGUUAGGUUAAAGACCUCUCUGUAUGCCAAAGAAUGAUAGUAAAUUUGUUGGUUAAAUUUUAGAUGAGAGUUUGGAUUUGAUUGUGGGUUUUGUAUAGAAAAGAACCUCCUGACAUCUAAAGAAUAUAUCCAUGCAUAAAAUGUAUUGAUAUUUUUAUCAGUUAUUAUAUAAAGACAUUUUGCUGCACGUUUUGGAUUUGACAGCUGUCGCAGAACAUAUCUUGUAUCCUCUCUGCUUCUUGUCUCUGGAGCAGAGAGUAGGUAUUUUCAGACUGGUAUCCAGAAGACAUUUCUGGUUAUUUUCACAUCAGUUCUCUUUCAGAGGGGCAGAUGGCAGUAUGAACCAUUUCUCACAAAUUUCAGUGGACAUGUGUUUUGCCUUACCCUUUGUGUGAAUGGUCAUGCAUAUUUCAUGUACGUUUAAUGGAAUGAAUCCUUUUGUGAAGAGGGGGGUGGGUGCUGGGAGCACUGCCUCUGCAGGUUCUUGGCUUUUUCCUGUUUAUCAGAGGAUGAAAUGCUAGAGGUGUCUUUCAGUACCAAAAUGAUCUCAAGUGGUCUUGAAUUCUUCCCUAGGGAUGAUUUUUUUGUUAGUUUGGUGUUACAUACCAUUUGGCAGGGGCAGUAGUUGACUGGAACUUCGAAGGGACGGGAUGUAUCUUAGAUGUUAGUCCUCUGUCUGCGGUGUCUGAAACUGUGAUCAAAGGUCUUUCAAGCAGCUAUCACAUCAACAGAGUGCCCCUAGGUAGUGUCACCUGUUUUGAAGAGAAACUAUACAAAGCUGCAGUUGCACUUAGAUAGCAAAGAUACAAAAUAGGUUGCUGGUAAGGGUUAUAUCUUGGUAGGACUACCUCUUGUGGGACAGAUGUAGCUGAAAGGCUGCAGAGUGUCAGGGGAAGAAUUAGUUUUAAACGUUUUAUUUUCUCCAUCGUCCAGUGUGAAACUCUCUCUUCCCACACAUACAGAGUUUAAUAAAAAAAAAAAAAAAAAAAAGACGACAAGUAGCAAGGCACACAUAAGGAAAGAAAGACUACUUAGUUAAAUCACUUAGAAACAUUUAGUAAAGAAUCACAGGUGGAUGCCACUACUGCUGUGAAGGGUGAGACAGAACUGAUAGACUGCUGUGCUAGCUAGUAGAAGAUGCUGUUAGAAGACUUUCAUCAUCAGAGAUGGCUUGGAAAGUGGAAUUUGCAGCAAUGAAUUGCAAAUUUCCAUC